CGCUAGCUACAGGCUUAACACAUGCAAGUCGAGGGGCAGCAUGGUCUUAGCUUGCUAAGGCCGAUGGCGACCGGCGCACGGGUGAGUAACACGUAUCCAACCUGCCGUCUACUCUUGGACAGCCUUCUGAAAGGAAGAUUAAUACAAGAUGGCAUCAUGAGUCCGCAUGUUCACAUGAUUAAAGGUAUUCCGGUAGACGAUGGGGAUGCGUUCCAUUAGAUAGUAGGCGGGGUAACGGCCCACCUAGUCUUCGAUGGAUAGGGGUUCUGAGAGGAAGGUCCCCCACAUUGGAACUGAGACACGGUCCAAACUCCUACGGGAGGCAGCAGUGAGGAAUAUUGGUCAAUGGGCGCAGGCCUGAACCAGCCAAGUAGCGUGAAGGAUGACUGCCCUAUGGGUUGUAAACUUCUUUUAUAAAGGAAUAAAGUCGGGUAUGGAUACCCGUUUGCAUGUACUUUAUGAAUAAGGAUCGGCUAACUCCGUGCCAGCAGCCGCGGUAAUACGGAGGAUCCGAGCGUUAUCCGGAUUUAUUGGGUUUAAAGGGAGCGUAGAUGGAUGUUUAAGUCAGUUGUGAAAGUUUGCGGCUCAACCGUAAAAUUGCAGUUGAUACUGGAUAUCUUGAGUGCAGUUGAGGCAGGCGGAAUUCGUGGUGUAGCGGUGAAAUGCUUAGAUAUCACGAAGAACUCCGAUUGCGAAGGCAGCCUGCUAAGCUGCAACUGACAUUGAGGCUCGAAAGUGUGGGUAUCAAACAGGAUUAGAUACCCUGGUAGUCCACACGGUAAACGAUGAAUACUCGCUGUUUGCGAUAUACGGCAAGCGGCCAAGCGAAAGCGUUAAGUAUUCCACCUGGGGAGUACGCCGGCAACGGUGAAACUCAAAGGAAUUGACGGGGGCCCGCACAAGCGGAGGAACAUGUGGUUUAAUUCGAUGAUACGCGAGGAACCUUACCCGGGCUUAAAUUGCAGAUGAAUUACGGUGAAAGCCGUAAGCCGCAAGGCAUCUGUGAAGGUGCUGCAUGGUUGUCGUCAGCUCGUGCCGUGAGGUGUCGGCUUAAGUGCCAUAACGAGCGCAACCCUUGUUGCCAGUUACUAACAGGUUCCGCUGAGGACUCUGACAAGACUGCCAUCGUAAGAUGUGAGGAAGGUGGGGAUGACGUCAAAUCAGCACGGCCCUUACGUCCGGGGCUACACACGUGUUACAAUGGGGGGUACAGAGGGCCGCUACCACGCGAGUGGAUGCCAAUCCCAAAAACCUCUCUCAGUUCGGACUGGAGUCUGCAACCCGACUCCACGAAGCUGGAUUCGCUAGUAAUCGCGCAUCAGCCACGGCGCGGUGAAUACGUUCCCGGGCCUUGUACACACCGCCCGUCAAGCCAUGGGAGCCGGGGGUACCUGAAGUGCGUAACCGCGAGGAGCGCCCUAGGGUAAAACUGGUGACUGGGG
rnacentral:rRNA from 1 species